AUUGAACGCUGGCGGCAUGCUUUACACAUGCAAGUCGAACGGUAACAGGCCGCAAGGUGCUGACGAGUGGCGAACGGGUGAGUAAUGCAUCGGAACGUGCCCAGUCGUGGGGGAUAACGCAGCGAAAGCUGUGCUAAUACCGCAUACGAUCUAUGGAUGAAAGCGGGGGACCGUAAGGCCUCGCGCGAUUGGAGCGGCCGAUGUCAGAUUAGGUAGUUGGUGGGGUAAAGGCCUACCAAGCCGACGAUCUGUAGCUGGUCUGAGAGGACGACCAGCCACACUGGGACUGAGACACGGCCCAGACUCCUACGGGAGGCAGCAGUGGGGAAUUUUGGACAAUGGGCGCAAGCCUGAUCCAGCAAUGCCGCGUGCAGGAAGAAGGCCUUCGGGUUGUAAACUGCUUUUGUACGGAACGAAACGGCCUGGGUUAAUACCCUGGGCUAAUGACGGUACCGUAAGAAUAAGCACCGGCUAACUACGUGCCAGCCGCCGCAGUAACAC
rnacentral:rRNA from 1 species